GUCCGGGUAUUACGAGCCCAAGCUUAAAACCCAAAGGACUUGACGGUCUCCCAUCCCCCUAGAGGAGCCUGUUCUAUAAUCGAUUCUCCCCGAUCAACCCAACCACCCCUCGUAUUCCCAGCCUGUAUACCUCCGUCACAAGCUUACCGUGUGAACGCACUUAGUGAGCUCAAAAACCCUACGCCCGCACGUCAGGUCAAGGUGCAGCCCAUGAGGUGGAAAGAAAUGGGCUACAAUUUCUACCCUAGAACAAACGAAAGACUAUAUGAAAUACAGUCACAGAAGGCGGAUUUAGAAGUAAAAAGAAAAUAGAGAGUUCUUUUUAAUUGGGCACUGGGAUGCGUACACACCGCCGUCAUCCUCUUCACAAUAGACAUUCACACGUCACUAACACCAACAUCCAAUACAGAAGAGGCAAGUCGUAACAUGGUAAGCGUACUGGAAGGUGCGCUUGGAACAAAAUGUAACUUAAUAAAAGUAUCUUGCUUACACCAAGAAUAUGUCUGUAAAAACCUGACCAUUUUGAGCCUAAAACCCAGCCCUACCCAAUCCAAUAAAACAAACACAUAAAUAGAACAAAUUAAAACAUUUUCUCUACCAAGUAAAGGCGAUUAAAAGUGCCUAGGA
rnacentral:rRNA from 1 species